UACGUAGGGGGCUAGCGUUGUUCGGAGUUACUGGGCGUAAAGAGUGCGUAGGCGGUUUUCUAAGUUUGGUGUGAAAUCUCCCGGCUUAACUGGGAGGGUGCGCCGAAGACUGGAAGGCUUGAGUAUGGGAGAGGUAAGCGGAAUUCCUGGUGUAGCGGUGAAAUGCGUAGAUAUCAGGAGGAACACCUGCGGUGUAGACGGCUUACUGGACCAUAACUGACGCUGAGGCACGAAAGCGUGGGUAGCAAACAGG
rnacentral:rRNA from 1 species